rnacentral:lncRNA from 1 species
UCCAGUCACACGCAUAGACUCAGACCGCUGAGAGGAGAUUAACAUCAAGGAGUCCACAUUUGCAAUAGCGGGUGGUGCUGGGGGGAGAGGCGAGGGGAAAAUAAAAUAAAAGCAACAAUCGGGUAAAUGCUCCUCUCUUCUCGCCACCAGCACCUUGCACAGUGAACUGGAAGAUGGAGAUGGAUGUUAAGGGAGUUUCUCCGUGCCCGGAGCCCAUCCCCCCGGCGGCGGGGUCUGGCGGCUGCCCGCACCAGCGCCCGCACCACCGCGAUGGGCAGCCCGCGGAGCCGGCCCCCGCCGCCGACAGCGGCCACCCGGAGCGGAGGCACGGCAGUGAGAAAGAGGACAAAAAGGCAUCUACACUGAAGCAUUCUGGAUUUCAUUUGGCAUGGUGCCUGUGACCAAUUACAAAAUCUGAUGCUGAAGCAACUUCUAGAGGUGGUGGAAGACCUAUGGUUGUGGAUCCUUUGCACAUUUAAGUGUUAUUGUGUGUGUCUGUUUGACCAUGGUAGGAUAUUUAAUGUAUCAUAGAAACAAGUUUUGUAUCUCCAUUUUCAGUGUCCCUCUCCUCAUAGAGCCUUCCUUUCAAACAUAUUUUCCUUUGUUUGAGCCUUUAAAAAAAGAAGAAAAAAAACCCCAAACCUUGAAAAAUUGUAACACUCUAUGAAAAAUAUGCACUAUUGUCAUCUUCUGGGGAAAAGGGGAACUUUACUGUGUCCACUGUUGUUGUAAGAGUAAUGUGGUGUACAGCAUGCUAAGUAACUGCUCAAAUGUCAGUGUGAAUUCAGAAAUCCUCAGUAGAGGAAAGAAAUAAAUAUUUUUAUUUUCUCUAAAAGCUUCCCUGU